rnacentral:rRNA from 1 species
CAUGGCCUUGUGCCGGCGAUGGUUCAUUCAAAUUUCUUCCCUAUCAACUUUCGAUGUUUGGGUAUUGGCCAAACAUGGUUGCAACGGGUAACGGAGGGUUAGGGCUCGACCCCGGAGAAGGAGCCUGAGAAACGGCUACUACAUCCAAGGAAGGCAGCAGGCGCGCAAAUUACCCAAUCCCGACACGGGGAGGUAGUGACAAUAAAUACUGAUACAGGGCUCUUUUGGGUCUUGUAAUUGGAAUGAGUACAAUUUAAAUCCCUUAACGAGGAACAAUUGGAGGGCAAGUCUGGUGCCAGCAGCCGCGGUAAUUCCAGCUCCAAUAGCGUAUAUUAAAGUUGUUGUGGUUAAAAAGCUCGUAGUUGAACCUUGGGCCUGGCUGGCCGGUCCGCCUCACCGCGUGUACUGGUCCGGCCGGGCCUUUCCCUCUGUGGAACCCCAUGCCCUUCACUGGGUGUGGCGGGGAAACAGGACUUUUACUGUGAAAAAAUUAGAGUGCUCCAGGCAGGCCUAUGCUCGAAUACAUUAGCAUGGAAUAAUAGAAUAGGACGUGUGGUUCUAUUUUGUUGGUUUCUAGGACCGCCGUAAUGAUUAAUAGGGACAGUCGGGGGCAUCAGUAUUCAAUUGUCAGAGGUGAAAUUCUUGGAUUUAUUGAAGACUAACUACUGCGAAAGCAUUUGCCAAGGAUGUUUUCAUUAAUCAGG